UGCAUGCCAUCCCCGCCGCCCCAGCCCCGCCCGGUGCAUGCCAUCCCCGCCGUCCCCGCCGCCCCCUUCACUCCAACCCGCGCCGCUCACUCUGCCUCACCUCUCCGGCCGCAGAUGUCUCCUCCCUGAGCACAAAGUGGACGCACGUGGGGCGGCCACCGGCGAAGGAGACCGCGCGCGAGCCCGCGGCGCCGAGGCGCCCUCACCCCCUCGCCUCUCCGGCCACACCGGUCUCAUUCCUAAGCAUGAAUCGGGUGCAGGCUGGGCGGCCGCCGGCGUGCAAGUCCGCGGCGCGGUGGUGGAGCCCUCCGGCCCCUUCGGGUUCGAGGUCCGCAUAGGUCUCCUCCCUGGCCUUGUUGGCCUUAUCUCAAUGUAUUAUUCCCUGUUCUUAUCUCAAUCUAUUCCGCCCCGCCCAACCCUCGAUGGAUUGCUUUCCUGGACGCCACAUCUCAUUGCUCGCACGAGGCCACUGCCUGGACGCGGCAGCCGUCGGUCCACUGGUCCUCGCACAGGCGCUCACACCAUAGCCAGCCCCAUCUGCCCACUUCUAGCGCGCGGACACAAUGAUCUGGAUGAGCUACCGCCUCAGCAACUCGAAGCCACGCACGUCGUUUAAUUAGUUCAGCAAGGUAGGAUGCUAGAUACUAAUUGAAACAACACCUGUUGAAGGUUGACAAAUAUUCAAAUGCAUGCUGUGAUGUUCAUUAAUCUGUUUUUGCGAGUAAAGUGCGCUGGUUCUUCAUAGUUGCAGAUUUGCCGUGGCUCAACAGGUUAGCACAAGGUAGCCCUGAAUUCUUUUUUUCUAAAUCAGAUUUGUUGGUUCCUGAUUUUACAGGCAUGUACGGGCACCUAAUGAUGUGUCCAGAAUACACAGGGCACAUUUUGACUUGGAAUGCUGCUAUUCAACGGUGGUCAUCCGAGAUGUCAAUUUAGCAUAAGCUAGCCUUGUCUUUUUUGUUUGAAUCAAAUUUCUGGUUAUGAUUUUUUCAGGCGUGUUUUGUACUAUAUUGAUCUUGGUCUUGUUCUGUUCGCAGGGACACCUGACGAUGAAUCACAAUUUGUACUGCAAGACAAUAUGGACCCUAGAGCUCUUGGCAGACUUGAAGGUAUGUUAAUUCCCAUUGAUCCCAGAAGGAGAUGUGGUGCCAACAAACUCACUGAAAAUGAUUAUUGUUUAGACUAUUGCAGCACUGCAACCUGCUAGAUUUAAGUAUACAGCUGUUUGAUUAGCGCCUUGUUAGCGUUUGUGAAUUAGGCAAUACAUGAAAAAAUAGCAUCAUUCUAGAAGGUAUACAUCUCUGUUCAUUUUUAGGAUUGCUACCUUUUUUUGUUAUACUCCCUCCGUUCCAUAAUGUAGUGCCUAUAGAUUUUUGCAAAAGUCAAACAUUACAAACUUUGACCAUAUUUAUAGAGAAAAGUAGAUACAUCUAGAAUACCAAAUGGACAUCACUAGAUACAUCGCGAGUUAUAUUUUCAGAAUGUAUAUGUUUGAUAUUGUAGAUGUAGAUAGUUUUCUCUAUACACUUGGUCAAAGUUGGCAAAGUUUGACUUUCACAAAAAUCUAUAGGCACUACAUUGUGGAAUGGAGGGAGUACCUUUCUUUGAUGAUUUGAUGUUCGUUUCACUGGCAUGGAACAUAGAACGAACAUAUUGACCGCUUAAUCAUUUAUAUAUGUUGAUCCCCAUGCUUUUCUCAGGGAGAGUAAAAAUAUAAUGGUUCGUUUGUGUAGAACCAAUUGCAUCUUGGAGUAGAGUAUGCUCAAGGUGGUUCACUUUUGGUUUUUGCAUUCCCAUGUGAAAUCGGGAGAGUGUCUGGAAAAAGAUGCAAUGUUGUGUAUAAAACAAAUCAACACCGUGUAUUUAGGUUGCCAAUUUGUUAAAUUUUUAUAGCAUAUCCAAAUAGACAUCUGAUAUUAUAACUUCCAUCUAAUUGUUGGCACUUCCUUCAAAUAAGAACAUAAACAGAACUUACAAACCGGAAUAUCUCAUAAAUGACUAUGUGUAUUUGCUUUAUGUAAUUUUCUUAUUAACUAAUCCCAUACAGUCCUGUUAGUGUAUAUAUAUCACGUGCUUCUCUGCUUCUACAUAGUCAUAUCCAUUUUCCACAAGCAGAAACUAUGUUAGGUUUAAUGGUUGCCUUGCGUCAUCGAUUCACCCAUGUGUUAUGUUUUCUGCCUGCUUUUGUUCAGAAGCUCAGUUAUGCGGUGUCCUCUGUCUCAAACACCGAUGAUGACUGAUACAUGUGAAUUGCAAACUUGGUAUUUUGUCAAACUCUGGCAUCAUCCGCACUGCUUCAGCGGCACUGGCUGUCUCACCUGGCUCUUCACAAAAACCUCCCUGUACUAUGGCAUGCCGCCGAACCACUCGUUGUGGGAUGCUUAACACCGUGUUUGGAUGAUGCCUCACAUGAUUCAGGGCAGACCCUACCGCACAUAUAAGCCCACUAAGCAAGCAUUAAUUUUCGUUUUGUUGACCUAUCUGUUAGCUUCGUGCCUUCACCUUAAUGUAGCAGAAUAGUUAAUUACUGAUUUUGUAGGGAUCUUUUGUUGCCACUUUUUUCAUCUGACGAGGAAUUUAUAGUCGAUGCACAUCACUUUGGGUGGAACUAUCAGGCACACGACCAGUGAGCGGUGGCAGAAGCAACUUCUCCCUUGGACUGCAUGACAUGUAAGAUUAAAACUUUGAUCCUUGCAUCCAUCCCUAUUUAGAAAAAAUAAAAUUGCAUGGCCGACCAUAAUUUUUGAUUGCUGUAAGCUGUGCUUAAUAACGUUUAUACAUAUUUAUUUGUAUGAAAAACUCCCGCCCUUUCUUAGCAUUCAAUUUUGUUUGUUCUCACCUGUUAUCUUUGUAUGGUGACUUGACCAACGAUGGUAGAGAACUAAGAUACAUACUCCUGAGAAUUUCUCUUGUAGAGGUGAAAAGAAGUCUUUGUGAUAUUGUUUUUCUUUUCAUUUCUGUGAAGGGCCUUACCAGGAACCAAGAUAUUUUUGCAGUGAGAAACCAUGUAUUUUUCCUUUAUCUUCUUGAUGAUUGUUUCUCAUACAUUUAACUUUAGAGGAAACAUGGACAUAAAGCUACAUGGGAACACUUGGUCCUGAAUAAAGUUUGUUUUAACGGAAUGUAUAUGCACUUGAAUGGAGGGAAUGAAAAUCUCAAUGAGAUGAAAUCUGGAGAUCAGAGAUGUAUCGCCUCAAUAGAAUGACAAGAUGUGGUCUCCACUCCGUGUGGUGAGAAGUAAGACUUUGUACCUUCCAGUUUAAAAAAGAGCUACUGGUCAAUCCUUAUUUACCGAACCUUGGUAGUUUCCACUUGCAUUUGCUUUCAUAAAGAUAUAAGUAGACAGUGCAAUUGGCGAUCACUUCUUUGUCGAUUACUUUGUUGAGAACAAUCCUCCAUAAUUGUAAAUUAAUUUGAUCUGGGAGGGAGCCAAAAUAUAUAGCACUUGGUGACUAUCAGUUUGAUUUGAACAAGGAUUAUGCAUCUUGACCACGGUUGUUUCUAUUUUCGUUCUGAACUGAAUUUUAACUCUAUUUUCCCUUAGUGGUACUGGAAGUGUAUUGAUGUUGAGAUGAAAGUGUGGCGGUGAUCCUGGGCAAUGACUUCUACACCAUGUUCUUCACAAACACUUGAAAGUAGAACCCUUCAUUCCCAGUUAAUGAUAAUGCUUCAUGUGCAGGCACGUUUUCCUCUUAAGCCCUAUGACUUGACCGAUGCUUCUAUGUCUACCUGUGCUCGAUGUGUUGAUGGCCUGAUGGGCAAGGCGUACUAAGGAUCCAGCGACAUCUUCAUGCAUAAUGCAUAAUGUUAUUUUUUGUAAUAGAGAAUUACAUGUACCACUUUUCAUUAUGAUAGUAUAUAUUGUACCUACUGAUGCAAGUUUAUCCUGCCCUCACUUACUCAGGAUGAUGUUGACAAUUUACAUUCACGGUGGGGGUAGCUUGGGCUUCGAGCCUGGGAUCAAGCAUGCAAACCCGUCGAUGAUAUUCUAGGGGAAUGAAGCAAGAGCUGCAACUGCAUGUGCUUGUUUUCUUGUGCCUUUCUUUUGCCAAAUAUCAUAAGUAAUUAACCACUCGCUACGGCAAUAUUCCUUCUUUCACUCUCUUUCCAAAAUUUUGACAUAA